rnacentral:misc_RNA from 1 species
AGGGAUCUUACCAUUCACAGUCACAAUACUCUUUGUUUGACACAAUCUUGUCACAUUUUGCAUGACGAUAUUGAACUUGUAGUGUCUAGUAAUGCCUGUAUGCUUUGAAACCAUCAGCUGAGGGAAAAUACAAAAAAUACACAAUGCAAGCAAUAAAGCCCUUAAAGUAGAAGUUGCCAGAAGAUUGAUCGAACCCAUCUCAAAAUGUUUGCUUGGAGGAUAUUUUCGCUGAAGAGAAAUGAUAACAAGAGAUGAAAGCUUGUAACUGUG